GACGAACCGUGCGAACGUUGUUCGGAUUCACUGGGCUUAAAGGGCGCGUAGGCGGGCGGUCAAGUCGGGGGUGAAAUCUUUCCGCUUAACGGGAAGCGUGCCUCCGAUACUGAUCGCCUCGAGGGAGGUAGGGGCAUGUGGAACUUCUGGUGGAGCGGUGAAAUGCGUAGAUAUCGUCUGGAACGCCAAAGGUGAAAACAGCUCGCUGGGGUUGUGCUGACGCUGAGACACGAAAGCCAGGGGAGCGAACGGG
rnacentral:rRNA from 1 species